rnacentral:rRNA from 1 species
GAGUGGCGCACGGGUGAGUAACGCGUGGGAAUGUACCAUUUAGUGGGGGAUAACUUCGGGAAACUGAAGCUAAUACCGCAUACGCCCGAGAGGGGAAAGAUUUAUCGCUAAAUGAUCAGCCCGCGUGAGAUUAGAUAGUUGGUGGGGUAAUGGCCUACCAAGUCUACGAUCUCUAGCUGGUCUGAGAGGAUGAUCAGCCACACUGGAACUGAGACACGGUCCAGACUCCUACGGGAGGCAGCAGUGGGGAAUAUUGGGCAAUGGACGAAAGUCUGACCCAGCCAUGCCGCGUGAGUGAUGAAGGCUUUAGGGUCGUAAAGCUCUUUCACCGAUGAAGAUAAUGACGGUAGUCGGAGAAGAAGCCCCGGCUAACUUCGUGCCAGCAGCCGCGGUAAUACGAAGGGGGCUAGCGUUGUUCGGAAUUACUGGGCGUAAAGCGAGCGUAGGUUGCUCGGUAAGUCAAUGGUGAAAGCCCAGAGCUCAACUCUGGAACUGCCAUUGAAACUGUCGAGCUGGAAUCUCAGAGG